CCCUUCCAAGUUCUAGAAUGGUGCAGUUGCACCUUUUCUUCUCUAAGGUGCAGAUACGUCUUUUCUUCUCUAAGGUGCGUUGCAUUUUUUCUUCUCUAAGGUGAGGCUGCACCUCCAUUUCCCGUCUUUCAGCUACAAAUCGUGCUACCUCUCCUAGAAAAUCAAACUUUCAAAGCCCUCUCCACGUGCUGAAAAUCUCUUUCCAUCAUCUCAAUGAUCCUGCAAAUUGUGCCCUUCUCCUCUUUUCAAAGGCUCCGUCUCCCUUGCUCUCCAAUGGUGUAACUGCAAAUUUUUUUUUUUUUUUGGUUUUUUUAAAGGCACGACUUCACCUCUACUUCCUGUUUUCUGCCGCAAAUUGUCCUCACUCUCACUGAAAGCCAAACCUUUAUUAUUAUUUUUUUUCGCUCUCCUGUCAUUUUCUUUCUUCUUCCUAUUUUUUUUUCUCUAUCUCAUCCAGCUUCUUCACUCUCCAUUUUCCGCUCGUUGACUCCACCAACAUGGGAAGACAACUCACCCGCCCGGAGAGAGCCUCAAUCGUCCGUGUCAUUCCAGCAUGAUCGGAACUCUCUAUCUUCUCAAAACAUAGCCCACAUUCUGUCCCUAUACAUCUGCACUCCUUCCCAUUGACUUCAAAACAAUGUGUAGGUCCUUCAAAUGUCCCCAUUUUGGUUGGUUCAGAUUACCAAAUUCAUCAAGAGGUGCAUCAUAAUAUAUGAUGUCAUAAUGUAUGGACCACCAACUAUUCUACCAAAAUUGGUACCACCAUGAUACAUGUAAUAGUCUUGGAAUGUGCCGCCAGUUUUGUAAGUAUUCUCUAGAGUAUUUAUUUGAAGUAGGAAAAUUUGGCCCACUAAAGAGAAGACGAGUGAUACAAUUGUUGCUAUCCUUAACCAUUUUCUCUAUCUUCCUUGGAAACACUACACCGCUAAAGAAUUGAAAUGGAACCUUAGAAACAAUCCCAAAUAAGAAAAUAUGAAUACCUAGAUAAAAAGUAUAACACAUAAAAAAUACAUAUUAGACACAUUUAAUAAAAAAAGAAAUUAAACUAAUGCAACAUAUAAUAAUAAUCGAAGUGUCAAACUCAAACCACCAAAAAAUAAAAAAAUUCAUUUCAUCCAAUCAUAAAAUAAAAUAAAUAAACAAAAAUACAAAUAAUAGUAAUAAUGAAAUAAUAUAAAAUAAGUCAAAACUCACUUAAUCCUAAAAUCAAAAUAAAAUAAAUAAACAAAAAUACAAAUAAUAAUAAUAAUAAUGAAAUAAUAUAAAAUAAGCCAAAACUCACUUAAUCCUAAAAUCAAUAAAUAAAAUAAAUAAAUAAAGAAAAACAAGAAAAUAAAUCUAAGUGAAACUAAACCUAGAAAAGUGCCUAGGUGAGCCUACAGUGGUGCCUAAUUGGCCAAGUGUACCUAAAUGGGCGUAGGGUACAUAAGUGGGUCUAAGGUGGUGCCUAAUGGGCCAAGUGUACAUAAAUGGCCCGAUGGUGCCUAAAUGGGCCUAAGAAGGUGCCUAAUGGGCCAAAUGUACCUAAAUGGACCGAGGGUGCUUAAGUGGGCCUAAGGAGGUGCUUAAUGGGCCAAGUGUACCUAAAUGGGCUUAGGGUGACUAAAUGGGCCUAAGGUGGUGCCUAAAUGGGCCAAAUGUACUUAAAUGGGUGUAGGGUGCCUAAGUGGGCCUAAGGUGGUGCCUAAUGGGCCAAGUGUACCUAAAUGGGCCAAUGGUGCCUAAGUGGGCCUAAGGAGGUGCCUAAUGGGCCAAGUGUACCUAAAUGGGCAUAGAGUGCCUAAAUGGGCCUAAGGGGCCAAGUGUACCUAAAUGGACCUAGGGUGCUUAAGUGGGCCUAAGUCUAAAUUAGGACUGCUAAGAGUCACAAUAGAGUUAGAUAAAUCCCUCAACCAAAGUCUCUAAGGUGGCUUAGAGAAUAUAGGCUACACGAGUAGUGAUGGGCCACCAGGGUAUUGUUGUAAAAUGCUGAACAAAUACCUAAUAGGACAUGUGCUAAGAGGGCAAACUGGAGGGUCUACAAUAUGCAUGACAAAUGAGAAGAUUGAGAGGGAAAAAUAUUAUUUUGGAAUAUAAUGAUGACAUUGGUUUUUGGAUAUUUGGAGUACUCUCAUGGGAAGACAACUUUGAAAUUUUAAAAAGGAAAAAGAUUUUUGAGAUUAAGAACUCUCUUAAGGGUACGACUGUUGCCAUUGAGAUUGAUAUACAUGCAUAGGGAGCAUUGAGAAUUUGGUGAUAUACAACAUAGGAGAUUUUUUGAGAUUGAAGAGGAUUCAUAGAGAUACACGACUAUCAUAUUGAGAUAGGACAAAGAUUCAUGGAAAAAGGACAAUGUUCACAACAUGAAGGCUUUUUUGGAAAGAAGAAAAGAAUUGUCUUGAAGACAAGACACAACAUUGAGGAGUUUUUGGAAAAGAGGAGGAAUAUUUUGGAACAACAUUGAAUGGGAUUUUUUGAGGUAGACAUGAUUGCCAUUGAGAUGGGGUUCACAAAAAAGAGAUUUUUAAAGAGGAGAUGACUUUUUUUAAAGGGGGAUUUGUGGUUGCUAUAGAGAGAUAGAAGAGAUAGGACUCUCUUUGGUACAAGUUUUUGGAAUUUUUGAGGAAGAGAUGACUUUGUUUUUUUGGGACUGUUAGUUGCCAUAAAGAUUGGAAAGAAAAUUUAAAGUCUUGGAGAAGCUAAGGGCAUCACGACAUAAGGAGAAGAGGGAAGAUCAAUUUGGAUUGAGAAAUGAAGCAAAGUUUCAUAUUUUUUUAGUGGAGAAAAGAACAAGUUUCAUCUUUUUGGAGGAAAGCUAUGAUUCUCUUUUAUUCUUUUUGCAUAUCUUAAUUAUGAUAAUCUCUCUAUCUUUUAUUUUUUUUCCAUCUUACUUAGAUAUGAGAAUUAUCUUUGGUUGGUGUGGAUGCAUAGGCCACACAAAUUGUUGGUAUUUAAUAAUUGGAUGAUUGAUUGUUUAUGCUUAGGAUCUAUUUCACUCAUUGUUUUCCUUAUUUUUUUUUUUUUUUUACUUAGUUUAAGCCUAUUUGAUAUCACAUGAGAUGAGGUCUUGCAUCACAUGAUUUCUUUACUUUUGGUUCAUUUUAUUUGAUUGUUUCUUUGAGAUGUUAGAGUUUAGGUUUAGAAUUGCCUCUCACACAUUCACACACACACACACACACACACACACACACACACACCUACUCUUACCUUGAAUUUUGUUUUCUUGUUUUCAUCCUAGGAUCCUAUGUGAAUUGAUUGUUUUAGAAAAUUUUCAAGGGUUUUUGAAAUUUUUAACUAAGAAAUAGAAUAAGAGUUUGAAGACUUGGUAUGGGAAUAAUGUAAGGGGAUUUUUGAAUUGUUAUUGGAUAAGAAAUUGAGAUCCUUGGUGUGAGGGAUUAGCUAAAUAUGAAUAAUGUUCUAUUUGGUGGAGGUGUUUGAACAUGGCAUUGGAUAUGUUAAGAGAACUCAUGAUAGACACAGAUGAGAGGACAAAAAAAAAAAAAAAAAAAACUUAAGGAAAAACAACAAGAAAAUGAUAUGUAGUUCUAGAAAGACAAGUCAUAGACAAACCUUAGAAGGUUAAGGCUAAGGUAGUGUACGUUAGAAUCUCUUGAGAACAACAUCAGAGAAGGAUGUUGGUGAACACUAACUUUUAUGCCAAGAGUUAAUAGGAGGAAAAUGCAAAAAAUAAAGGAAUUUUAAAAAUGCAAAGGUUUAGCCUUCUAAAAAUACCUUACCUUCGUCCCUUGAAAAAAAAUGUGGCAUUAUUUAUUUCAGACUAACAUCAAGAAUAGGAGCACCAAACUUAACUUGCCUGGUGCUUACAAUACAUGUAAGAGACUUAGUGCAUGGACUUCUAAGGGCAACAAUAAUUGUAAAUACCAUAACACCGAGUAUUUGGCAAAGUAUCAAAGUUCUAAGAGCCUUAUUUCAACAACUUUGAAGAUACUUCCACACUAAUAGAAUGCAAUUUCUCAAAACAAGGGAUAUGGCACCAAGGCUUGUCAACUAGCUAAGAUAUUUCUAUCAAAACAAGAUCUUGUAUUCACAAUCCCAUAAUUAUUAAUUAAGAAUCAUGGGAUUGAUCUAUAAAAGCUAAAGGUUCGAUCAAAGAUAGACAAAAUUGUUAACCAAUUGAGUGUUACAAUACAUAUCACAAAGAAUUAUGCAUAAAGGUAAUCUUUACUUGCUUUAUUUUGAUUUAGAUGUAUGAAAACAUAUAUACAAUGAUUGAGAAUGCUUAUAGUAAUGUUGAUCUCAAUUGUCCUAAACUAUAGCUACCUCUUAAAAUGAAAAGAUUGUGUAUUACAUGAGACUUUUAAAAAUAAUAACAAUAAAAAAGAAAUAUGUACCUUUAGUCCUUUCCCUAAAAUAUAUAUAACAAAAAUUCAUUAAAAAUUCAAAAUAAAGAAGUUCAUAGAUAAAGUUUAUUUUUCCUAAAAGAAAUUUUGCUAUUGCUUAUUAUCUCUUAUCAAGAAUAAAUAGGUAAUAUUCAAGUGUUUCAAAAAAUAAACCUCCCAACUAUAUUUCGUGCUCAAUUGCAUGAUAAGAAUUGAAGUUUAUUACAUGGGAUUUGAUUUCGUUUAAAAGCGACAACAAAGGAAAAUUAUUAUGGGGGUGCAAUAAUCCAUUGACAUGUGGAUUGAUACUAAGGUAACACAAGUGGUGCAUGAUUCGUUCCCAAUUGGUGUCUCAGCUGAUUCAUGUCCAGCUGGUGCUCCUUGACUGAGGGAGUGAUCAACAAAAUUUAUAACCUAUUACACCAUGCAUUAGGAUAGCUUUAGCUAAUAUAGCAUAGUGACUCUAGGAUUGUUCACUGGGAAGGGUUUUCAACUCUCAAUUGAUACCAAUUCAAAGUUAAAUUGGUGCUUUUUCAUUUCAAGGUUAGCUUAAGAAAUAAAACACAAACUUUGUUUAAAUGAGGUUUUGUUUAAAGCUAACUAAAAAGAAAGUAAUGGAAAUUACUUAUGAAGAAAAACAUUCCUUGGAGGUUUAGGUUCAUUGGGGAGGUUCCUUAUGCAAAAACAGAGCUCUAGUCAUUUGGUUCAUUUCCUCGCAUUAGAGAAUUAACAUAUAGUCAAUUCUCUAACCGGUGUUGUACAGAUGUAACCUUUAAAUGGAUUUCGGCUCUAAUUCCCUCUCACUGAUGCAACUUGCAAUGGCUCGUGCCUCUCACCUAGCAUUUGCCAUUCAAGGUAAUCUUUAACUUUGGACUUCCCUUCUCAAGCUCGCAAGAGAUAACUAAUGGAUGUCUUCUUGGAGUCCAAAAGCUUACCAAGUGUUGGCAAUUCUAGAAAAUCCUACCUCCAAGUCACUUCCCAAAAGCUCGCAAGAGAUAAACAAGUGCAUCUCCAUGGACGGAGAUCACGUGCCUUACCAAGUGUUGGCUCAAGUGAAUUGAAGGUGUUUUAAGUUAACUAAAAACAUAGAAAUCAUUAAAGGAUCACACUUUCUUUUCAUUAAUGGCUGAAACCACAAAGCUAUAAUUUCUUGCACUUGGAACCUUUCCCGGCAACCCUAGCUCCAAGGAACUAAAAGUCUAGCCACUCAUUCUCUGAGGAAAAUUCCUCAGAGCUUGUUUGGCUAGUAAGAAAAAGAAUGAGAAAACAAAAAUAUAAAGGAAAAACAGAGCAAGUGCUCUAUAAAAUAUAUUUCUUGCAAAAUUGUACAAAAGGAUGCGUCUGAGAACAAGCUCCCAAAGAUAUAUGAUUGUAAAGAAAAUUACAACUAUAUAUAAGAGGUUAUUCACUCCUUUUUCUUGCUUAAAGACUAAGGAAUCCUAUGAUAGGUGGAUUACAAGGAGAGUUUGGGGAUUUAGACAUCAAAUAUCUAAAGCAAAAUAUCCCAAAAUAUCUCAAAAAUGUCGGUCGGAAAUAUCAGGAAGCUUGAGGAGAACAUCGUGGCACUGUGCAAAAUGGCUGCGAAACUCUCUGGGUAAGCGCUGUAAAAGGAUCUGGACAUGUCUGUCCGGGGAAGUUGAAACGUCCUCCUCUCCCAUCCAGCUGUGAGGUAUCUGGAUGUAACAUGUCGGCGCACGGAAUUCCGGAUGUGAAAUGUCGGCAGACAGAACUCUUCCCCAGGUGGACUGAGCUAUGCUGCGCAAGGGGGACCGUCUGCGUGUGCAAGGUGUAGGGACCCCUCUCCCGGAUGACACGGAGUGCGCAAGGCUAUCCGGAUCAACUCCAUCCGGAUUUCCCAAGAGGACACGCGGCGCGCUCCCUUAUCCGGAUUCCCUCAGGUUGGAGCACACAGCACUCGUGAACAUCACACCCGGACGAUAACAUAUCCUAUUCGGAUAUGUUGUCCGGGUCACUGACUAAAGUGAGCAAGCCUUCCUACGUCAUUCGGACAACCUGCCACAGACCAUGUUCCGCCACCAUCCUGUCCGGACGCCCUGUCCGGACAUCUUUGCCAUGGAUUCCAAAGAACUCUCCUCAAUCUCUGAUUGCUUUCGUGAUAAAAAAGCUAUCAAAACACCAAAAUUUAACACAAUUUGAUUAGAAUUGAUUGCAAGGGUCCUUAAUAUGUUAAUUGGGUUAAAAGGUGAUAACUACUACUCAAAAGUAUUUAAAAGAGUUAAUUACAGACUAUCAAAUAACACUUUUUGAGUAGUAAUCAGUGCACCACCAUAAGGUUGCAUAAGAGCCACAUAACCCCAAAUGGGUACUCCAACCACCAUCAUAGUACAAUAAAGUUGACUUCUAUUAUCAAUAUGGCGAUAUGAUUUCCCACAUGAAAAUGGAGUAACUUACAACCACCCUCUAAGGGGCACCUUUUUCCACUUUCAAGGAUGAAAAUAUCGGUGAUUAUUGAUACAUCAGUACUUCCAUUUUACGGAUAUAUCGAUGAAUAUUUUGACACAAAAUAUCAAUGAAAUUAAAAUUGAUAAAAAAUUAUAAAAAUGUAAUAAAAAACUCUUAAAAAUAAAAUUAGAAGUAUAAUAUAUAUUUUAAAGUUGUUUUGUUCAAGAAAUUGAUAUAUGUAUAAUAUAACCUAUCAUAUUUGAUAAUAAUAUUGUAUGUGCUAAGAAAAAAAUAUGAAUUUCAUAAGUAUACAUUUAUUAUUAAAUUAUAUCAAAUAUUAUUCGAUAAUAAUAUUGUGAUAUUUGAUUAUAAUAUGUCUAAUUUAAAAAUAUAUUUAAUAUUUAAAUUAUAAUCCAUUUAAUUCAAUUGUAUUAAAUGAUAUAAAAUAAACGAUGAUAUAUGUAUAAUUUUAAUACUUUAUUAAUAUAUUAAUGAUAUUAAAAACAUUAUUAAGAAAAUUAUCAUGAUAAUUUUUAUAUUUUUGGUAUUCAAAUAGAUGAAAAAUUUUCAUUUAAUCAUAAAAUAAUUAUAAUUAAUUUGUUCUUUAAAAUAUUUUUUUGAAUUUAUGUUUAUAUGAUGAAUUUGAGUUUAUGUAUAUUUGGUGCAACUUAUAUAACAAGGGACAAACUUCCCCCAAUGGUUGGCUCAACGCAUAGUAAACCCACACAGGUCGUAUUGACCCAUGUUGACCACCCCAAAAUAUUGCAAAAAAUCAAUAAAAUAUUGAAAAAUCGGCAAAAUUCACGAUAAAUUGUCAAAAUAUCGAGGUCCAUCGAUACUCUAUAUUUUAAUCACUGCCCACCAUCAAAGGUUGUAAUGACCAUAGGCGGUGAAUGGACUCAAACCCUUAGGCGGUGAAUGGACUCAAACCCUAACAAGCGACCCCAUCAUUAAAAGGAAGAUUGCUUUCCAAAGCAAGGCAGGUGAAACAAAUUCAUCCUUUUAUGUUAACCCUCUUUCCCAUCCAUGCCUAACUUGAUCGUCACAAAGGGGUUGGCCUAAUCAAUCCAUCACCUAUCUAACACUCAUUAUGGAAAUUAAUGUGUAAAGGAAUUCCAAAGAUAACCUCAAGUGGAAGAGGGAUGCAACAAUUCUAAAUUGCAUCCUCAUAUGCAAAAAAUAGGACUAAAUCAAUGUUUCUACAAGGAAGAGUCAAGCUUGACUUCAAUUUAUUGUUUUGUCUUGGUCUUUUUAAUAUUCCUAAUAAAAAGAAAUAACAUGAAAACGUCAACAAAUUUUCAAUUACUUCAAUUAAAAAAAUCAAUUAGUACAUAAAAAUAAUUUUUUUCUUCAAAAUUAAAGGCAAGAGAUGAUUUUAUAUUUUUGCCCUAAUUUUAAUUUAUUUUAAAUCAAUUUGAGUGUUGAAAAUUUAGGUAACAAAAAUUUGAUUAAAGAACUAUAUAUAUAUAUAACAUAAUUCUUCUUAAAAAAAUAAUAUUUUUUUUAUAAAAAAAUUGUUUAAAAAAUUGAGAUAUUAUUUUCUCAAAUUUAAAAAAUUUAAAAAAUAAUUUUUAAAGAUAUAAGAUAAGUUCAUACUUCUUUAAAAGAGUUGUUAUAUUUAAUAUAGAAAUUAUUAUUAUUUUCUAGUUUUUUUUUUUUUAAAAAAAAUGUCCAAACAAACAAUUAAUUAAUUUCAAAUAAUUUUGAUAAUGCCCAAGUACACUAAUGGAAUUAAUAAAAUGCUUUAUACAUAAUUAAUGGGAAUGCGCCAUCAAAGUCAUGGGAGUUUUUCCGUCCCACCAAGAUACCACCGAGUAAUACACACGUACAAAGUGAGGUUAUUACGUAAUAAUAAAUAAAAAUAUAGGUCAAUUAUUGGAAGACAAGUACUGCGUAAAUGUUGAGCUUUAGUCAACCAAGUCGUUUACGAGAUUUCCCCACCAUGACAGCAGCUGAAGACAUGGAAAAACAGGUGUAUGACUCAGUGUCCCAAGGACUGUGUCAAAGAUGGAAUACCCUAGGGUUGAGGGAGUAGGGAACAAAGUGGGUCAGCUCGAUUGACUAUACACAUUGCAUGCAUUACUAAAGUGGUAAGGUUUCUGGAUCUCUAUGUCGGCGUUGAUAAUUGAAUGGGAAAGUAUUAAUGGUUCUAGACAACAGUGGCUGCACCCAACCCCAAAUCUCAAAAACCUCAGCUGAAGCAAUUCAUUGAAUAGCUCAAAGCCGAACCAUCCAUUCUUAGCAUGAGCUGCUUCCGACUCAUUCGCAUUCAAGAUAGACACACCUUUGAUGUAAUUAGGAGAUAAGAAAUGGUUACCUCAUGAGUAGUCCGAGAAAUUUUGGAGAAAAGAUAAAAAAAAAAAAAAAUAGAGUCAGGAACGCAGAAGAAUGUAGUCAUUCUCUUUUGCCCUAGUUCUCCAGCUCUUGAAGUUUUAAGAGGUCAUCUCGAAUGGAUUUUUAAUUGCCUCAACACAGGGUGAAGUAUCCGCCAAGCAAUCAAUGAUUUUUUUCUAAAAGAUGAAGCUCAAUAUUUGGAAAAAUCAAACCAUGCAUGGAUUUGGAUAAAUUAUAAUGGGAUUUCCUAUUUUAAUGCUUUAGAUUUCUUCUUAAAAAUCUGAUUUUCUUUUAAUUAGGCAUUGAUUCAUUCCUAUCUUACUCCUAAAAUUAGACACACAUGUGUUAGGUGAUCUGAUAUCCGUUAAAACUUUGGGGUGCAUGCAUCUAAUUAAGAUUCUUGGAAUAACUGAAGUGAUUAAAAAUAAAAUUUUUGCCUCAUAGGGUGGUUUAAAAAUCAUAUAUGAGGUUUGAAUGUUCUCAAGCCCAAAUUCUUUUUCAUAGAAGAUGUCUUGAAACCUCACAAUCUUCCACCAUUAUAGCUCCUUCUUUGAUCCAUGAUACUUGUGUAGAAUGACUACUUACUUCUUAAGGGAGAGAGAUGGAGGCUAGGUUUCCAAAAGAUCAAUUGUUUGAAAGAUUAAAGUCUAACCCUAAAACCCAUGAGGUUUAUAUAGAUUCUCCUAUGGGCUUAAGUGACUUUGGCCCAACAUGGAAUUGGAUCACUUAAUUUAGCCCAAUGUGGGUUUGGGUCACUUAAUUUAGCCCAACGUAGGUCAAUUGAUUUUGCCCAUGAUGUCUUAAUUAAUUAAUUAACUCAAAUGAGCUCCAAUUAAUUAAUUAGCCUACACAAAAAAAAAAAUCAUCAUAAAAUCUUGUGCAAUGUUAUGCUAUUACCAAAAUGGAUUUAUGCACAUAAAUGAUUAAUUCUCCAUAAAACCUUAAAAUAAAUAAUCAUAAGUUUUUACACAACCUUACGCUUUUAACAAACCACACUUAUGCAAAAAUGAUUAAAUCUCUAAUUUCCCUCAAACCUUUGUGCCAACAAAGACUUUGAACUUGAGUGAGGACUACUAGGACCCAUAGGAAAUACUCACUUUCUUAUAAUCUAAUUUUGACAUUGAUUCAACACUCCACUAAAGAGAGUCAACUCCAUUUUAAUAUCUAAUUUCAUUACAUUAAGAUAAGAAUUAAUUAAAUCCGGUUGAAUAAUUUUCUCCAAUUUGUGACUUCCUAACAUACAAACCCCUUAUAAAUUGAUGCUCUUGAUCUAACAAGAUAACUGCUAUCAACCUCUUAAGAUUACCACAAUACUUGAGUUUUAGAUCUUCCUAUUAUGUAAUCAAAUGAUAUUCUCUAGCUCACUACGAAAAAAAUGCCUUUUAUGUUUAUUUUUGAGAAAUACUUAGAAUCACCAUUAAAAAAAAAUAAAGGAGAAAACAAAGUAAUAAAAUUAAAACCCUAAGUAACUCCAACAAUGGAAAACAAGGCAAUGGCUACAAAACCUAGAUAUCUCCAUUCCUAUCCUUGGACCAUUAGGGUACAUGUAAACUAUCCUAGGAGCUCUAUAGAUCUAACAAGUAGAAACGCAAUAUACAAUAAAACUUAGAUCUUGAGAAAAGUGUGUUUUCCCUAUGAUUUGGAUGUUUCCAAUUCAAAUCUUGUCAAUGAAGAGUCAAUAUGGAUCUUGCAAACUAGUAAAUCUUGCACCCAAUAGCUCCUUUUUGGAUCCUGACACAAGAGAAGGUUGUUAGCAUCUUAGAUAUAAGCAAUAACAUCAAUACCAAUUUUUUUUAAAAAUUGAUCUUUAGGGUUAAAAUACUAACCUUUAGGUUUGAAUGUUCCCAAAUUUUAAAUUCCAAGUAUUGAAGAUAACUUUGAAGUUGUUGGAAGUAUUAUAAACCCACGAUCUUUCGUCCGAUGACUCAACCUUGUUUUUGGCACACUUCCUAUGGGGAGGAAAAAAUGGUGGAGGUUAUGACUCUCUUUCUCUUUGGAUGGUGGAAAACAAAAAGAGAUGGAAACCCUUGCCCCUAGGGGGUAUUUAUAAGGUUCAUAUAUAAUUAGGUUUAAGUGACUUAAACCCACAUGGACUUGGGUUACUUAAUUUAACCCAAAUUGAGUCAUAAUUGAUUAAUUAACCUAAUAAGAUCUACUAAUUAAUCAAUUAACAUAAUUUAGAUACUUGGUUCACUUACCCUUGUGCAAUCUUAUGUAAUUACCAUAACACCUUUGUGCACAAAAGUAAACCUAGAACUAAUUUGACCAUUCUAACCCAUGCUAAUAAGAUAUAUGAACCCAAAGCAAUGACCACUAGGACUUAUAAGAGUACUGGCUCCCUUAUAAUCCAAUUAUGAAGUUGAUUUAACAUCUCACUAUAGAGAAUCAGCCAAGCUCUUGUAACCUAUAUAAAUAACAAUGAGACACUAUGUGCUUAGGUCCAUGACUUGCUAUCCAUUGCGUUCAGUCUCCUUAUGAACUAGUGACCAUAGUCUAACAAGGUGAAAACUAGCUAUUAGCCUUUCAAGACUACCUCUACUAUUCUUGAGUUACAGAUCCCCCUAUUAUGUGUUCAACUGACAUGUCUUAACUCUUAAAGAGUCAAUGUCAAAUUCCACUUAAGGAACUACUAUAACCAUAAUUUUCAUGAACACAACUCCUUAGAAUCACCUAGGGGGACACUUUGUCUUAAUCACAUGAGAUAUCAUGGUGCCUCUAUUGAGAACACCUAUUACUAUAGACUUCUAUCAACAGUGACCUAACUAAUCCAUAGGGAAUAUAUGAUCAGUUUACAAUUUCACUCAUAGCUCAAAACUACUAAUAACUUUAACACAAGUUCAAUAUUCUCUUAAGGUUGAGAGACAACAUAAUGAAGCAUCUUGGUGAGGUCAUGACUACUUGAUAGCCUUAAGUCAUGACUUGUCUAAUAUGUAACAUUACACACUAGUGCACUCAUUAUAGGAAACUCAUCCCGAUUGCCAAGACCACUCAUUUCUCUAAUUAGGAGGUGAUGCACUACAACCUCUAAUGGGUUGCUUAGACCCACGAAUCGACUGUGAAUAAGUCAUCUAUUUGUAAGGAACCCAUGACUUGAAUCUUCUGUGCAACUUGUAAUGCAGCCAAGUCAUAUACAAUGAAAAAGAUACAGACAAGAAAACUUAUAUAGUGUAAUGUAUAGAAUAAGGAUAGAUAAAAGUGAAACUAGAAUAUCAUUAAAUAAAUAAUGAAUUCUAAAUUUGUUACAUCAUGUCAUACUUUUAAGGGCUCUAUCAUAAUAAAAGUGAAAUCCUCUUUAAAGAGGUAGAGGUUAGGGCUUUUCUCUCUAGAAAUGUAAAUGACAAGAAUGUUGAAGCCUUAACCCCUUAGGAGGUUUAUAUAGGUUUUUUGCUAGCUUAGGUAACUUAAUCCAACCCACUUGAAUCUUAAUUAAUUAAUUAUCCCUAUUGGGAUCCAAUGAAUUAAUUAGUCUGGUUCACAAAGACCAUGCAUAAGCUCUUAUGUAGCCCUAUGUAUUUACCAAAAUACUUUUAUGCACUCAUGAAUUUAGAACCCAAAAAUCCCUCAAUAACUAUGCUAUUAUGGAUAUGAGCUCAAGUACAAACCAUUAGGACCAAUUGGAAAAUAUAGGCUCCUUCAUACUACAAUUCUAAAGAGCAUGCAACAUCUCACUACUGUAGAGAGUUAAUUAUACUCCAAUAUCUUAUGAUAUUAUAAUGAGAUACUAACCUCGAGUUUAUGACCCAUUAUUCACUGUAUACAGACUUCUUAUGAAUUGAUGUUUAUAAUCUAGCGAAGUGAUGAUAUUAACCUUUUAAUAUUACAUCUAUAAUCGUUACAAACAUUGGUCUCUCUUACAGAUUUAUUUCAGGCUCUGUUGUUCCCUGCUCACCUAGGGUAGGUGGCAGUUGAGCCAAUGGUUCUUUUAGCAUAUCUUCCUCUUCACCUGGUGUUGAAGGCAUUUGGGGCACUUGAGGCAUAUCCUCUUCUUCAGCCCUUUCUUCUACAGCUAGGAGUAAUCCACCCCUUCUCAAUUCAAUUUCAAUUUUCUUCAUCUCAAUUUUCAUUUUAAUCAAAUUCUUUUCAUAGUCUUUCGGUCCAUGUGUUGCUCUUUUAUUGUUACUUCCUCUUCAUCCUCAGCAAAUGGGUGCCUCAUGGCCAUCUGAUAGGUUGUGAGAAAUCUGGGUAUCUUAAGUUUUGCUUUCUUAGCACUCUCUAGCCUCUUCAACUGAUUCAACUCGUAUGAAUGGAUGAAGUUUUUCUCAAUCAGUGUUAGCAGGUCGGCAUAUUCAUCUGUAUAAGUUGCAUACAGGCCCCCAACUUAAAAUGCUUCCUCUCUUGUUCAUGGCCAGUGGGGUUAAUAUUGUGGCAGAUGACAUGGUCAACUAGCUUCUUCUGAUAGGGGGCCCACUUUCAUUUGGUGUAACUUUUCUGGGUCUUCCAGCAGGAAUAUUCAUUUAAGAUCUCUUCCACUGAGUGCUUCUCAGGGGCUUUAAGACCUAAGUCAACAAAGCACUCAGUGGCUUUAAUACCUAAGUCAACAAGGUGUUGGCCUUGCAGCUCACUCAGAGCUGCAAUCUCUGCUCUGGGCAUCUUGUACCUAAUGCCAUCAACUCGGAAGAUAACGAGUCUGUCAGCAUGGUCCAAAUUCUCUACCUUUAAGCUCUGAUAGAUUAACCUCACUAGCCAUGGGUAGUGUUACUUGGGCAGUCCACUUGUCAUCAUGCCCAUAUUGUAUUUAAACGGGAUCUCUGCAGACGACAUCGCCUCUUCCAUUUCUGCUAGUUGCAGAUCUUGAUAGGUUUUUUGGGAUUAGAUAUCUCUCAUUUGAUAAUCUUUGUAGGGUACUUCUCUGGCUGGAAUAGUUUCUUAAGCCAGAGCUGGUUGUUGGGUAGCCAUCUAAUCUGGAAUCUCCUCAGCAGGGCUGAACAGGAGCUGGAGCUUCAGGUUGGAUUUCUGGUUGUUAGGAUUUUUACCUUCCUGCCAUGAACACUCAAAAACUGAUCAAUGGAGUUGUUAGAGUUCAUAUAUUCAAUGUGUUGCAACUUGUUAAUUUAUUUUUGUUCUUUUUCAAAUAAUUGCUUUCCUUCAAAAUAUAUAUAUAUGUAUAAAGUAGGUUGUGAGGUUUAAUUUAAGUGACAAAGAGAUUGAUCUAAGUGAAAUUUUCUAUAUAUUUUAGAAAAUUUUUAAAAAUUAAAAAUUAAAAUUAUAUUGAAAAUAAAUUUAAAUAAAUUCUAACACCCAGUUUGUGGUUGAAAAUAGACACUAUUUCAAUAAUUAUAAAAUUGAUAAAAACCCAAUGUAAUUGCUUAUACGAGUAUCAAUUUUAUUUUUUAUAUAAGUUAAUUAUACUUCUAUAUUUUGAUGUGUAAAAUAAACUUCUUUUUUGGUACACUUGAUUAAUGGUUACUAUUAUUAAGCAAUUACAAUAAAAGUAGAUAAUUUUUAUAGAGAAAUAGGUAUUGAGCUGUUUGUAAAGUAUGUGUAACAUAAUAUUAAGUAUAGAUGACAAUAGGGUAGGUUUUUUAAAGUAUCACCCCACCAUGCCCCUAAUGAGUUAGGUUUAAAAUUUAAAUAAACGGAUUAAGGGUAGAUUUGAGAUUUUUUUUAAAAACCCGGGAUUGGUUCGAGGUAGAUUCAAGUAUUGACUUAUCCCCACCCCACCUCGAUUAUAUAUAAAAUUAAUUUAAUUUAAUUUUUAUAUUUAUAUAUUUAAUAUAAUAAUAAUAGAAAACAUUUUUUAAUAAAAUAAGUUAUAAAAAAAUUAUAAUAUUUUUAAUUAUUUAUAAAAUAUAUUUAUUUUAAUGUAGUUAAAAAUAUUUUAAAUAAUUUAAAAGAAAAACUAAAAACUUUUAAAACAAAAGUUGAAUGGGUUGAGGCAAGACGAGUAUGAGAAAUUUGCAUACCUGCUCUGCCCAUUUAAUUUUUUAAAUGAGACAAAAAUGAUAAUUAUUUUGAAUAAAUGGGAUAAGAUUAGGAUGAAGGUGAUUCGUCUUGAACCUGCUCUAUUAUUAUCUUUAAUCUUAAUUUGAAAACUUCUAUGGGAUGUAAGCUUCAAUUUGAUGUUGCUUGACCAUCAACAUCGACCAACUUAUUUAAGUUGUUAGCCUACAUCAAUUGAAUAUUGCCAUACAUUAAAAGUAACGAUACUUGGAAAAACGUCAUUAUACUGCUAGAUUUUCAUUUUUAUAAUGCAAUCUCAAUUUAACCUUAAUCAUAAAUAAUAAAAUCCAUAUGGAUUUUUUUCCAUGAGCGUUUAUAUAAAAAUUUAGACCACAUGCGCGGAGUUUUCAAUGCAGCAAUAUAGUUUCACUGGUGAAUGCUUUAUAAGGGUUUACCCAUAAAACCUAAAACCUAAAAAAAAAUAAAAAUUCCUCAAAGUGUUUCGUUGAGGGAAUGAAGCGGCUACCAAAGUAAAAAUGAAGAAAAAGAAGAAGAAGAUCGUCAUGAAGGUGGCUAUCAUUUUUCUUAUGUUGUUGAGUCAAUGAUUUAGCACCGAAAAUACUCCUAGCCAGGUAUGCGCAUAAAAAUUUUCAGUCACAAUGUUUGCUUUUACGGUUUGAGAUGUAGAAAGACAAGUUUUUAAGAUGGCUACCACUUAUUUGACAUCAUCCCAAAAGGAAAUUCUGGAUUUUACCCCUUCCUAGCAAAGAUUUGGUAUGGGUAGAUAUUAAAUCUCAUCCUUGAUACAAAAAUAAAUAGGAAUCCUAUCUUUUCCAUUUCAUGGUUCAUUGUUUCAAUAAAUUGCAAACAAAUUCAAAUCAAAAACAUUAAAAACAUAAAUUUAGAAAGAUUGGGCAUCUUAUUUACGCAUGAUGAAUGGAGAGACAAAGAUCAAUGAUGGGAAUUGGGUAGAGUGGUGAAAAAGAGUUUCAAUAUGUAAAAGCAUAUCUCAAUAGACGAUGAGAUAAUUUUUUUUAGUUUAUUAUUCUUAACCUUUUCAUUUGGUGAAAUGAAUUUGACAUGAGAAAUAAUUAAAGAUGAUAAGACAAUGGUGAAUUGGUGAAAUGAACUUUACAUGUCAUAUGCCAUAUGUGCCAAAUUUAGAAUAGCUUGAGUACGGACUAUUAGUAAAUUUGCUUCCUAUUCUAAGUUCUCCCAUAUGGAGGCUGGUAAUCCACAAGUGUGGGACUUAAUUUUGCCUAUGGAAGACUUAGUUUUGAAUUUAUGAGAUGACAAUCAACAAGUGUGAUACUCUUGUGUCCUUUGCCUUGAAUCACACCAUAGGGCACCCAUGGACACCCUUUGUGGCUAUUGUUUACCUUUUCUUGAGUCUUUUAUUACUUUCGUCCAUGUACAUCCCUAAAAAUUGAUAAAUUUGGUGAAUUCCAAAAUUGAUUAAAUUUUGAUUGAAAUAUUUAGUGUUGCUCUCCAUAUUUAAACUCUUAAGGUCAAAUCUUUAACUUCAAGAUUAUAGGUUAGUUUUUUUAUUACUUGGAACCUAGGUCAUGGCAAGAACCACAUUGAUUGUCAAACUAGUUGACUUUAAGAAAGUCUUGCAAGCUUUGGAGGGGGGAUAAGCUGAUUUAGUGAGGUUGGAGAAGAACAAGUCGUUAAUGGUCAUUGCACAUAUUGUGGGAUUAUGUGUCUUGGAUUGAGAAAAGAAGAUGUGUAGUUCUGUAUUGUCAUUGUGAAGAGGUGAAUUGAAUCAAACAUUAGAAUUUUGUUUUAUUCUUUUUCUCUAAUUUUCUAUUUCUUAGCUAAGAGAUUCUAAGUAAAGAAAAGAAAAAUAUGCAAUUGAUAUGAAGAUUUGCAUGAGAAAAACAAAGUUAUCCUCUCAUUAACAAUACUAUUUUGAAUAUUUGGAUACAUAACAAGAAUUGAAUAAACAUAAAGUUACAAGUAUUGAGAUGACAAUCAAAAUGUGUGAAACUCUCAUGUCCUUUGCCUUGAAUCACACCAUAGGACACUCAUGGACACCCUUUGUGGCUAUUGUUUACCUUUUCUUAGGUUUUUCAUUGCUUUUAUUCAUGUACAUUCCUAAAAAGUGACAAAUUUGGUGAAUUCUAAAAUUGAUUAAAUUUUGAUUGAAAUAUUGAGUGCUAGUCUCAAGAUUUAAACUCUUAAGAUCAAAUCUUUUAACUUCAAGAUUGUAGAUCAAUUGGGCUUUUUAUUAUUUGAAACCUAGGUCAUGACAAAAGCCACGUUGAUUGUCAAGCUAGUUGACUUUAAGAAAGUCUUGCAAGCUUUAGAGGGAGGGUAAGUUGAUUUAGUGCAAUUAGAGAAGAACAAGUCAUAAGUAAUCAUUGAGCAUACUAUGGGAUUAUGUCUCAUGUAUUGAGAAAGGAAGAUGUAUAGUUCUACAUCGCCAUUUGUGAAGAAGUGAAUUAAAUCAAAUAUUAAAAUUUUAUGUUAUUCUUUUCCUCUAAUUUUCUAUUUCAUAGCUAAAAGAAUAUUCUAUGUAAAGAAAAGAAAAGAAAAACAAGCAAUUCAUAUGAAGAUUUGUAUGAUAUCAUGAAGUUAUCCUCUCAGUAAAAACACUAUUUUGAAUAUUUGAAUAUAUAACAAGUAUUGAAUAAACAUAAAUUUACUAUUUUUGGCUAUUAAUAUUUUCAUUAAAUCCAAAUUGUGCAUAUUUUCUAUAGCUAAAACUUAAAACCAUAUUUUAUAAUUCAUAUGAGAAAGGACUAGAGGAGUGCUUCUGAAUCUUUGUCCUAGAUUCUUUAGAGUUAGGUGAUUUUUGGCCAUAGGUUUAUACUAAAGUUCAACCUUAUAACUACUCAUGAUUUACCUUGAUUUCAUCAUUUUAGUUCUUUUUGAUUCACCUUCUUUUAGAGAUUUUGUUGAUGUAAUUGUAGGAUAUUUUCCUUGUGACAUGAUAAUAGGUAAUUUUCCUUCUUUCCUUCCAUAGUUCUUGCUCUUAUAAAUAUAUGCACAAAGCAAACGUCAAUAUAGGAAAAUUGUUUCCAAGAUAAUUUUUUUCCUUAAGCUUUUAUCUUUGAUUAUGACUUCGUUACAGACAACCUCAUCUUCUAUUAUGACUUAAGUUUUUUCUAUUAAGUAAUAUCACUAAUUAUACUUCAACCAGAUUAAAUGAAACUAAUUAUCUCUAAUGAUGGUGAAGUGGGUUUGUUCCUAUUCUUGUAGACAAUGAUAUCUAUGGAUAUGUCAAUUUACAUUGCUUUAUUUCUUUUUCAUGUAACAGUUGUAUCUAACUUGAUGUUAUUCUUACAGUGAUGUCCUCUAGAGGUGGUAGGACUUUUGUGAAUCAAGCUCUAAUUGAUGGGAAUGUUGGUUUCUUGAGAAAUCAAUUUCUAUCAGCCAACUCAUGGAGGAGUGAAAGUCUGAGUCGAGGGUAGAGUGCCCAGGACCAGGAUAUCUGAAGAAUUAAGAUAAGAGAGGGGCACUAAGGAAAGAACUGCCAUGGAAUUGACUUCCAUGGAUACAAUCCAAAAGGGAAGAAUUAGCAAGUCACAGAUAUGGAUGUUGGUAGAGGUAAUAAGACAAUUGAAUAAAUUGUUGUAACUGAACACCUGAGAAUGAAAGUUGACCGAAAACAAGGAUGCAACAACAAAAAGAGAGCAAGAACGAAAGUUGACUAAAAACAAGGAUGCAACAAUAAAAAGAGAGCAGAAUGUGAUAAAUAAAGAAAAUACCAGUUACAAAAGGAAAACUUGAACACUCUCCUUCCAAAGGUAAAAGUUCCUAUAGAAGGCAAAUCACUUGUUUUUAGCAUAUCAAAGCUCUAAUGGAAGACAAUUUGUUUGUCUAUAGAGGAUAUCAAAAUUAUAGUUUCAACUACAUUAUGGAAGAAGGAACAUAUGUAUAGUAUGAGAUAUACAAUUAAAAAUGCAUUCAAUGUUGUAUCAUGAAAGUUUCUGCAGAGAUCAAUAGAGUUUUAACUUCCAAAGCAAGAUUCACGAAGUGGAUUUUAUUACAAAGAGAAGCAAAGAAAAUCUCGUAAGAAAAAUUACAAACUGGCAUUCUCUAAACUUUAAAAUUAUCUCAGUCUAAUUUCUCUAAUUCUCCAUCUAAUAUCUAUCUCUCUAUAUCUCCUAAAUAACUAGAUAGCGAGCUAUUUAUAGGCACUUUAUCAGUUUCUAGCUCAAUUAUAGCUUGUCACGUACACAAUAUAAUAAAAUCUAGUAAGUAAAUCUUCGCAUACUUCCUCAAUAAAUGUUUUCUUUCAUGGCCUUAUUAUGAUUAUUUGCUUUGCAAGGAAUAGCUUCAACCCAUUUCAACACAUAAUCCACUACCAUAAGAAUAUAGUGAAAACUAGAGGAAGGUGGAAAAGAUCCCAUAAAAUCAACACUUCAACAGUAAAAAACUUCCACCACACAAAUGUUGUGUAGUGGCAUUGAUUAUCUCUUACUUCACUUUUUCCUAGGUGUUGGCAUUUUUCACAUCUCUUGUACGUUACUCGCAAGUAUUCUUCAUAAGAGUGUUCUAGUAGAAACCUGACUAUAGUACCUAGGUGUUAGUUUUCUUGGAAGCUAAAUGUUAUCUACACACAUCAUCAUGACACAUUUUCAACAUGCUUUCUCUUUCUUCUUCUGGAAUGCAUCUUCUUAUAAUCUGAUCAUGACAAUACUUAAAUAACAAAUGUUCUUCCCACUUGUUAUUCUUGGACAAAAGGAAUCUUCUAUCUUCAGCGGUCUAAUUAGUAGGAAGUUGACCAAUUACUAGGUAAUUGACUAUGUCAGCAUACUAAGAUAUUUUCCUUUUGAUGGAGAAAGCUUCAUCAGGAAAGUUUUCAUUAGAUUCUUCUCCUUUAAACUUAGUCACAAUUCUAGAUAAGUGGUCAGCUACCAUAUUUUCUACUCCUUUCUUUUCUUUGAUUUCCAAUUAAAAUUCUUGUAAGACUAGUAUCCAACAAAUUAAUCUGUCUUUCGCUUCCUUUUAUAUAUUAAAAGAUACUUCAAAGCAGAGUGGUCUGUAAAUAUCAUAAUUUUGGUUCCAACAAGGUAAGUUCUGAAUUUGUCUAGUGCAUACGCUACUACUAACAACUCAUUUUUCUAUGAUCAUAUAGUUUUUUUGUGCAUUGUUUAGCAUCUUGCUGGCAUAGUGGAUGACAUUGCUUAUUCUCUCGACAACUGUGAGUACAUAGCCACUGGUGUUGCAAAUAAGUUCAAAUGGCAAAUUCCAAUUGGGGAGUUCUUACCACUAGUGCAGAUACAAGUUUCUCCUUGUAACUUUUCAAAUACAAGCUAGCAUCUCUUUGUCUAUAGAAAUUCAGUGUCUUUCAAUAGUAAAUUGCACAAUGGUUGAACGAUUUUUGAGAAAUAUUAGAUAAAUCACCUGUAGAACCUUGCAUGCAUGGCUUAAGAAUUAGUGUACUUUUCUAACUAUAGUAGGACUUAGCAGUUUAGAGAUCAAUUUAACUUUAGCUUCGUCAGCCUUUAUACCUCUCUCUAGUAUUACAUGGCCUAGGACUAUCCCUUGCUUGACCAUGAAGUGACACUUUUCCUAGUUCAGCACAAAACCUUUCUCAAUACAUUUCUUCAGUACUUUUUACAUGUUUUCCAAUCAAGCUAUAAAUAAGGGUCCAUAAACUAUGAUAUCAUCCAUAAAUACUUCCAUCUCCUUUUAUAAGAAUAUUGAAAAAAUGGUCACCAUGCAUCCUUGAAAUGUCUCAAGAGUAUUGCAUAAUCCAAAUGACAUUCAUCUAUAAAGCAUACCUGUCAAAUGGAUUAGUAAAUGUUGUCAUCUCUUAGUCUUCUGAUGCAAUUGGUAUUGAAAAUACCCUGAAUACUCAUCCAAGAAAUAAUAAUAGGAUCGGAGUAGCCUACAACUUUCUCCAAGGUUUGGUCCAAAACAGCAACAGAAAAUGAUCCUUCCUUGUUACUGCAUUUAGCUUGCCGUAAUCAAUACACACCCACCAACUUGUAGUAAGUCUAGUAGGUACCUCCUCUCCUCUACCAUUCUUGAUACCCUUAUGCCGCUCUUUCUAGGAACCACUUCCCAAGUAUUGUCAAAGAUGGAGUAAAUGAUUCCAACAUCCAACAGUUUAAUUACUUUUGCUCUUAUUAGAUCUUGCAUUGGGGGGUUAAGCCAUUACUAUAGUUGGAGAAUGGGUUUUUUAUCCUCCUCCAAGAAUAGUGAUGGGUGCAGAGAUUGGGGUUGAUUCUUUUUUAAGUCCUCAAGAAAUCCUCUUAUCACAUUUUUGAAUUGUUUUAGUACUUGAAUGAGCUUUUGCUUUUUAGUUAGAUCAAGAGAUGUGACUAUAAUAACUUAAUAAUCCUCUCCUUCUCCAAGGUAGAUAAACUUGAGUCCUUCAAGUAUUGGUCUUUUCUUUUUCUUUCUUUUUCAUUUUCAACUUUUUCUACUGUACGUGAAUAUUUCUUCUUCCUAUUUCCACAGUUUUAUUACUUUAUCUUUUGUUUGGUAUGCAAUGGAUAUAUCAUCCAACCCUUUGUAGUUUGUGAUCAACUGAUAUUCUAUCAAGUUGUCCACAGGUUCUUGAAUUAACGUUUCCAUCAAGCAUAUUUUUGUUGGCUCUUCUACUUCUAUCUACAACACAGGGCUUUUUGUUAGCAGGAACACAUUGGUUUCCAAGGUCAUGACUCCAAAGGUUAGCUUCAUUAUCCCAUAUCUGUAAUUAAUCAAGGCAUUAUCAAUAGCCAAAAACAGUUUACCCAGAAUUACUGGUAUUGAAUUUGAAUUCCUCUUUGGCUACUCAAUAUCAAGUACUAUAAAAUUAGCAUGGUGUUAUAACCUAUCCACCUAAAUUAGGGUGUCUUCUACCACUCCCUUCAGUAUUUUUACUAUUGUGUCAACCAAAUAUAAUGUGGUUACCAAGCUUUUGAUAUGGUGAAAAUGGAAUCAAAUUGACAUUUGCUCCCUAGUCAAGCAAUGAUCUUUUAAUUAUUACUUCUACUAUGGAUAUUGUUAUAGUAAGAUAGCCAGAAUCCUUAAAUUUGAUUGGGGUUUUGCAUUGAAUAAUUGCACUAACCUACCCUGUUAAGAACACUUUCUUGUCAAUAACCAUUUCUCUUUUCACUAUGCAUAGGGCUUUUUUAGGAAUUUUACAUAGAUUAGUACUUGACAUACCAUAUCUAGAAGAGGUAUGCUGAGUUUAACUUGGUAGAGUACAUCAAACAUGCACUUUAGUAUAUUGGUCAUCUUCAUUUCUUAGAGCUUGAGGAAAUAGGUUCCUCCUUAGACCUUGGGUGAUCCAAAAGACAUGUGAUUAGGAAGACUAUGACGAUAAUAAUUCAUUUAAUGGAAUUUGACAUAUACUCUUUAGAGCUAUAAUAUGUCAAUUGAUCACAUAACAGAUACAUUAAUAACUAAAGGAUUGAAGAAAUAAUUUUGAUAAGUUGAUAGCAUUACUUUAUUGGAUUAUAAACACUAGGUCAUGGGGGGUUCACAUGCAGUGGAUAGUAAGUCAUGAACUUAAGCUUCGCCCCAUUGUAAUUUCAUAAGAUAUUGGAGUACAGUUGAUUCUCUAUAGUAAAGUGUUGAAUUAACUUCAAAAUUGAAUCAUAAGGGAGUUGGUAUUUUUCUAUGAGUUUGAGUGGUCCCCAAUCAAGCUCUUAAUUUAUGGUGGCAUGUUUUAUUUAAGGGAUUUGGUUUUUGGUUCGCAAGUGUGCAUAAUGGCAUUUUGGUAAAAGCGCAAGAUUGCAUUAGAUCUCAUGGAUUAUAUUUUUAAAGUAGGCUAAUUAAUAUUAAAGUCCAAUAGAGCUAAUCAAUUAAUUGAGACCUAGGUGGGUUAGAUUAAGUGACCUAAGCCCAAUUUGGGUUCAAGUCACUUAAGCUAAUAAGGGGCCUAUAUAAACCUCCAACCCACAAAAAGCCCUAUAUAAACCUUUAUAAGGGUUUAAGGUUUAGAUUUUUGCCACUUUUUCUCCAUAAGAGUUUUCCGAAGAGAAGUCUUGGCCACCCUCAAGUUCUCUUUCAUGCUUAGAUUCGCGUAAGGAGAGGUUGGGUGGAAGAACACCAUGUAGACAAGUUCUACUCAAUAUCUUCAUUGGCUUGGUUUUUAUGUCAUUUUUUAUAAUUUUUCUCAACAUUUUCAUAAAUUUUGAUUAAUUUUUCGUAUGAUCGAUAUUUUAUGUUAGGAUAUCCAUCGAUAUUUUUCAAUAUAUUUCAAUAUAUACAUCAAAUUGAGUUAUCAAUAUAUUCAUAAAAACCGAUAUUUGUACCUUAUAAGUGCCUUAAAGUUGAAACCAUGGGGCAAUUUGUGUCCCAAAAGGACACUUCUCGAGCGAUAUGACGGGUCCUCUAAUACUUGUUCUAUUCUAAAUCCACCACUAAGGCUAUCAUUUACACUACAGAUUUUUUUUUUUUUUUUCUCUUUUAAUUAAUUUCUUUUAAGCCCUUGAUUUUCCUGCCUUGGCCAUGCACCUUCAAUCCAAAGAACUGACUGAGACACACUGAAAAGAUGCAUGUUAAACCUCAUUACUAGGACAUUACAAUGAAUUUGACCAAAAACAUAGAAUAAUCACUUAACCAGCUAGGUUCUAAAUAACAUCCACAAACCUGUUACGGAAUGCAAAUUGGAGUGAAUUUUAACAAAGAAGCAUAAGCGAAAGAACACCAUAUGGGUCUUGCAGACUAGAAUAAUUGAACUUUAAUUUUACUUCCAAGUGAGAUACAACUCGAUCCUUGUUUAGUUGUCUUGAAAUUAAGCUGAUGAAUAGGAAAAUAGCAUAAUUCAACACAUCAUAUGUAGGAUGUGUCUUACCCAGAAAAAAGGAAAAAGGAAAAAAUCUUUGAGUUUGUUAAUGUAGGACAUGAAUUCCCAAGUUGCAUAUUGGUCUCCAUGGCUCAAUUUGAUUGUCCAAAUUUCAAAUGACUAUGGCAUCCAACUCAGCAAGAUUUGUUUUUGUGAUACUUGUCGUUUUCUUCAUGUAACGUUUCUCUUGGUUUCUAACAAAGCCAUCAUCAAUUAGUGGCUAAACCAGUAAGGAAUGGACCCACUUGGCUUUGGACAGCCUACAUGGCGGUGGAACCUAUCUUUUUCAGGCUUAUGUCCAAUUUGAGCCCAAAUACUAACAACUUCAAAGGAAGCUAAUGAUCGGGUACCAAAAAAAACAUUAUGUUCAUAUACUAAGAGUGUGUUUGACAGUAAUUAUAAAAAUGGUUUAUAACAUCUUUAAUACUUGAAAGAUAAAAAAUUUCAAGUGUUAAAAAAACUAAAAACACUUUUUAGACUCACUACCAAACGAAUUUUAAGCAUUUAAAUCAAUUUUAUUGUAGAACUCGGCCGAUCAUAAAGAUAAUUAUACACUCAGACAGACAGGAAAAUACAUCGGACAGAAUACAGAGGACAUUAUUCUAAAAUACAUAACCAAGACAGGAAAUUACAUCAGCCAAAACAUAGAGGACAUUGUUCUAAGAUAUACCUAAUCCAGUGAAGGAUAUUAUUAAUCCAUGAUUUUCCUAAUCUACAAGGGAAUUGAAUCACUCCAAGAGGGGCCAUCUAGAGCUGAAGACCUUCUUCCAGGAUGGUCUAUUACUGAUAUCAUCCCACCAUGCCUUCACGUGUUUCCUCUCCUCAAUCAAAUACAUCUUCCCCAUAUCAGCCAAGUACUUUGUGAAUGGAAGGUGGCUAAGAUCAGCAAGGCUAAAGAAAUCCCCAGCCAGGUACUUGCUCUUGGACAGCCUCUCUUCAUAGAUGUCCAACACCUUUGCAAGCUUCUUUUCACUCUCUUCGAUCACUUUCGCAUCUGGGGGAAUACCCCGUUUGCGGCCAAACAGAAUUUCAAUGACUAAAUUGUCAAUUGCUGGGUGGUAACUUUGUGCUUCAACCUCCAGCCAUUGUUCCACCACUCCCCUCUCCUCUAUUGUCUUCCCCAGUAAAUCAGUUCCUUGAGACUUGUACUUCUCAGCAUAGUACCUCAUGAUUGCACGAGAUUCUGAAAUUCAAAUCAUACUCAUUCAUCAAGAACCCAAAGGGCCUGUUUGGUAAAACAAAUAAAUUGUUUUCAGCAAUUCAUGGGGUUCUAAGCUUUACUGAAAAGAUCAACUUUGAGACUAACACAUCAUAAAUCACUUAAAGAGUGAAAAAGAGCAUUCUAAUCUUAAGUGGAAAUGUUGUCUUUAUAAGAAAGGCAUUUCUGUAUAUGGAAUACUACUAUAGAAAUUCUGUGAUAGAAAUUUAUUAGAAGUGAGAUCACUGAAAAUUACCAAAUAAGGUAUAGUCUCCAUCUUGAAUGACAGGAACAACUCCAAAAGGCUGCAUUUGAUGAGAGAAAGAAGCAUAAAUUAUCAACAAUAUGUACAACAAAUCAAGAAAUUGUGAUACUUCAAUCAUUAAGCCUUUGUUUGGCUCUCAACAACUGCUGCAAAAAAAAAAAAUGAAAGGAAAUUUAAUGAAGUUCGAGUUUGAACUCCAUCAAUUCCUUCUCUGUUGAUCUUAUUUCUACUUAAAAGCUUUUCGAAAUCAUCAGCUUUUUCACUAACACCACAAAUCGAAAUCGUCUCGUUUCUUAUGUUGUUCCUGAGCUCAAAACAAAGCUUUAAACGACAAGAAGAAAUUAGAACCUGCAACUUCAGGAAUUCUGGAUCCUUAUUCUGUCCUUUGAUGAUAUCAAUGGGGAGAGUCUCGAAUUCGACCUCCUUCUCAAUGAGGCAAACAAGCACGCGCUUUGCAGAAGCAAAAUCUGGGCCAUACACCUUCACCACCAUUGUUGUUAUCUUGAUUUAUCUCUCAAAGAUCUAGUAAAAACAACGACCGGCGUUUGGGUAGAGGGGUUGAUCUUGAGGCCUUACAUGUAGUGGUUUUUCAAAGUCCAAGAGAUUCGAGAUCAUGCACCUUCUGCGUAAAAAAUGGGCACAUACAGUCAGAUAUUUGAGCAGCUUAUCAUUAAAAAGGGAAGAUGAAGAUUAAAAAAAUAGCAGAUAUUCUCCAAUGCGACUUCAUGGAUAAGAAGAGAAGGAAGGAAAUCGUAGUUUGACUACUUCUUUAAACUUUUGAAAUAGAUUCUAAUACUCACAUUUUUAAUUAGAGAUUAGAAAAGUUUUUCUCAUAAAAUUAUCAGUACAAUGAUGAAAAUGAAUGAUAAAGAUAUCCACUUUGGAAAGAUUUUUGAAAAAUUGGUCAAAAAUCAAAGAGAUUAUAAAAGUUUUUCUCAUAAAAUUAUCAAUUCAAUGAUGAAAAUGAAUGAUAAAGAUAUCCACUUUGGAAAUUUUUUUGAAAAGUUGGUAAAAAAUCAAAGAGAUUAGAAAAGUUUUUCUCAUAAAAUUAUCAAUUCAAUGAUGAAAAUGAAUGAUAAAGAUAUCCACUUUGGAAAAAUUUUUGAAAAGUUGAUCAAAAAUCAAUAAUUAAAAUUUUUUAUUUCGUUAGAUUUGAAGAGUGGAAAUUUUUUUGGAAUUAAAUAUAGAUUUGGAAAAAAAAAUUAGAAAUCAGAUGAUUGAGAUUUGAUUUUAAACAUUAAGUAUAUUGUAAAAAUUAAUAAAAUUAUUAUUAGGUAAUUAUUGUAAAACCUUAGUGAGAAAAAUUAGUUGAAAUUUAUAUAAUGUGGAAUUGCUAUAAUGAAUUGUUAGAAAUUGAAUUUAAAAUUAUAACAAAUAAAUUUAGUUUUAAUUGGAAUUAAUAAUUUUGAUUUUGAGGAUUAAUUAAAUUGGUAAAAAUACAAGUAUAUGAUUUAAUGUUAUUAGAAAUUAAAUUUUAUUGAGACAUAAGAUAUUUAAUUUAGAAAAAAAAAUAUAAUAUAAUAAAAUUUUAAUUUUUGGGAAUUGAAAUAUGUUUAGGGGCAUGUAUAAAAAAAAUAAUAUGGAGGAGUUGUGAAAUAAUAAUAAUACUAGGCUUAUAAAAAAUUUUAGAAAAGAAUAUGCCACUGUCUGUAAAAAAAAAAAUAUUAAAAGUGGCGGAAAGCCUUGGUCAAAAAAUUUAGGGAAUAAAGGUUAAAAGAGAGAGAGAGAGAGAGAGAGAGUGGAAAGUGGCAUGAAAGCCACUGCCUAUAAAAAAAAGUAAGCCACCUCCUAAUAUUAAACUGGUGGAAAUUCAAUGAAAAUUAUGUUAAGAGUCAAAUUUAGUAAUUAUUUAUUGGUGGCACACUUCAUGUGAAUUAAAAAAAUAUUUGUGUGAAGAUUUAGAAUUAUUUUGAUUGUAUUUAAAAGAUGAAAUUAAAAUUUAUUAGUGAUAUAUUAGUGUUAAGAAUAAUGGAGAUUAUUGAUUGAAAAUUUUGAGUAUUGUUAUAUGUCUAAACUACUUGUUUUAUAGUAUUAUUAUUUGAGUUGGGUUCAUUCUACAUCCAUGGUUGUUUGGAAAAGAAAAGUAAAGAAAUCAUGAUAUGAAAUAAAAAUGAAAAUUAAAAGACCCUAAAUAAGGCAAAAAUGAAAAGGUUAAAAAUAAGAAAUGGAAGAACCCAACGAAUACGAAUUAAAAAUCAAGUGAAAUCUUUAGCGUGAUUGAGAAUUAAAAGACAUCGAAAAGGGUAAAAUUAAAAUAAAUUUUUUUAAAAAUGGUAGAUUUUCAAGAAGGACGAAUUAAAUAUAGAAUGAGAUCUCUAGUGUGUAAGCAUUUGGAUCAUGUUUGCUUCUAGAUAAAGAAUUUAUAUAAACUAAUUAAAUGACAUCAAAUGUAUGUUUGAAUAUAUUAUUAAAAAAUGAUUUAUUUAUUUUGUAUAGGAAAAUUAGAAAUAUUUGUUAUGAUAUGCAUGAUUAAAGAAAGAAAUGUGAUAAUGUAGAUUGAUGUAAUUUUGUAUGAUUGAGUUUCAUUUAAUGUAUAUAAUGAAUAAAAUAUUAUUAUAUUUUGGUAUUUUAUGAUAUUAUAUUCACCUAGAAUUGUUAACCUGUUCGUGUGCAAAACAUCUAGUUAAGCAACAUGGGAAUACUCACCUCUUUCUCUUUAAAAUUUUAAAGAUGUCAAUGUAGUUUAUGAGAAUCACAAGAAAACAAGGAAGAAUUUCAAUAAGUCCCAUGAAGUCAAGGAACAACCUCAAUAAUUGUUUUAAAUUUCUAUUAAUUUUUUUGGUAUGUACUACUUUGAGUUAUAUGGAUUAUAGUAACCUAACAUAUAUAUUUUAAAUAUUUUAUUCGAAAAGAAAAUCAUGUACUAAAUCCUAAUUCAAUAAAAUUAAAUGAAACUAGAUAUCAAUUUAUUUUAGAAAAAUCAUAUUAUGAGGUUGAUUGUCAACUUGGAUAAGAGUAACCUCUAAGCUCACACUUUCGAUCUAGGUCAUGAGUUUGGCUCUAGAUUAGUAGGAAUUCAACAGUGACAUAUGCCUUGAGGAACCCACUUGAGAAAUUUGGUUUCUUGAAAGGUAACAAAUGAAGUGGUUAAGCUAGCAAUAAGGGAAGAGAGACUUGUUUUGGGAAUUUCUUCAAAUUCCAUACUGUUCUCUCCCUUUCUGUUUGACAUUUAAGAGUAUGAUGUGUUAAUCUAUCUUCAUACUCUUCCAUCUAAAGAGCAGACUGGGUUGAUUUUGAUCCAUUCUACGUUCAUCCCUUUCUUUAAAGGUGACCCACACCUUAAGAUUUUUGGUACAAUGUCCUACACUUGAAAAAUACCAAGCUCCAAAUGGAGAAAGAACACCCAUAAGCAUUCAAAUUGUUAUUCUUACAAAACCAUGGACAUAAAUCCUCAAGAGGACAACAAACAAGAUAGGAGAAAGAGAGCAGCCAGCCCUAGACAUGGAGGACAUUAUUUGAAAAUGUAAAUGGAGAAAGAACACCCAUAAGCAUUCAAAUUGUUAUUCUUACAAAACCAUGGACAUAAAUCCUCAAGAGGACAUCAAACAAGAUAGGAGAAAGAGAGCAGCCAGCCCUAGACUUGUAGGGCAUUAUUCCAAGAUUGGGGCAGGGUAGAGCUCAAGGACCUUUUUCCAAGAUGGCCUGCUACUAAUAUCAUCCCACCAUGCACUCACAUGCUCUCUCUCCUUAAUCAAAUACAUCUUGCCCAUAGCACCCAAGUAGUUAGUGAAAGGAAUGUGGCUGAGAUCAGCAAGGCUAAAGAAGUCCCCAGCCAAGUACUUGCUCUUAGACAGCCUCUCCUCGUAAAUGUCCAACACUUUCCCAAGAUUUUUCUCACUCUCUUCAAUCACUUUUGCAUCUGCAGGAAACCCCAUCUUGUCACUGAACAGAACGUGAAGAACUAAAUUGUAUAUUGGUGGGUGGUAGUUUUGUGCUUCAACCUCUAGCCACUGCUCCACAGUACCCCUUUCCUCUAUUGUCUUCCCAAGCAAAUCAGUUCCUUGAGACUUGUACUUCUCUGCAUAGUACCUUAUGAUAGCUCUUGAUUCUGCAAAUCAAAUUAAGAGCCAUCCAUCAAUGGUUUAUUUUUCUGAUUUUAGUUACAUAAUAUGAAGAAAUUUUGCAAUCCUUGACAUAAUUUUUCCUAGAAAAUUUCCAACCAAAGAAAACAAACCUAAAUACGAAAGGAUCACAAAAAUUUUACAAAGGGAUUUACCAUAUAAAGUAUAAUCUCCAUCUUGAAUGACAGGAACCACUCCAAAAGGCUGCAGUUCAUCAGAGAAAAGCAAUGGAAACUAUAAGCAGAUCCUCUGAUAGAUAUAGUUGAAUUUGAAACAUCAAGGGUGAUCCAAAAAAGGGUUGUAAGUUUAAUUUUGAAAAACUCCUCUUCAUCUUCUCUCAAUUUAUAAUCCUACCUUUUAAAACCAGAAAAUGGGCAGUAUCAAGAAAUUCAGCUUUCUGGGUAACUUUAAAAUCAAAAUUCCUCCUUUUUCUUGUUCUUUUUCCAAAGACUUUACUGAGAAUCAAACAGACCCUGAUCCAAAAUAAAAAAUUCCGAAAAAAAAAAAAAAAAAAAUACCUGUAACUUGAGGUAUUCAGGAUCCUUGUGCUCUCCUUUGAUGAUAUCAACUGGGACAGUCUCAAACUCAAUCUCCUUCUCAACAAGGCAAAUAAGGACACGCUUUGGACAAGCAAAGGCUGGGCCAUACACCUUCACCACCAUUUUUUUUUCUUCUUCGUUUUUUUUCAGGGCAACCAAACAGCUUUAAUAACUGAAUACUAAUAGCCCUUGAAGAGAGCCGUGAAUAAAUUUAUCACUCCAUCUUUCUCCUUUUCAUUUUUUCAAACUAGUACAUAACCGCACCUUUAAAAUGUGAUUAUAUUUGAUAUUUUCUUUAAAGCAUUAUAAAUAAUUUUUCAAAGUUUUAAAGGCAAAAGAUGACGUUUUAUCAUCUUUUUUUUCUUCAAAAGUUUUGCAAUAUUUGGUUUCGAAAGUAUUAAGAAAAAAAAAACGAAAAUUGGUUUUCUUAUGUUUUAUUUUACCGUAAAAAAAAUAUAAUUAAAAUUAAUUAAAAUUUUAUGCAUUUUAAAAUUAUUUAACAUUUAUAUAAUAAAAAAAUAAGUUAAAUGAGUUUGAAAAAACCAUAUAAAAUAAUUUUUAAAAUUUAAAUCUAUUUUUUAUUUUCAUUUACUCUUUUUUUUUCCUUUUAUAUUUUAUUUUUAUUUUUAUUUUCUCAUAUUUUUUCUUGAAUUUUUUGAGAGCCAAACAUACCCUUUAUGUUUUAGGUUUUCAAGAGUAUUGUCAAACAAAUAUUAACACCCUAUUUGAUAACUAUUUUUUAAAAUUGUUCUUUAAUAUUUUAUAAAAUAAAAAUCUUUUUGGAACCUAAAAUAAUUUUAACAUGUUUUUUUAAUAAUUUUUAUGUUUAAAGCUUUAUUUUUAAUCAUUAUACAUGUUUGUUUAAAACAAAUGAAAAUAACUAAAAAUAACUAAAAGAUGUGCAAAAAAUAGAUUUUUGAUUGUCAAAUAUGUUUUUCAAUUUUUUUUCUAAGAAAUAAAAAAUUAUUCUCGAAAACAAUGGUAAAACAAACCCUAAACCAUUGAGCCUGACUCAAAACUUACACGACAUUGAAUUUAACCAAUUUCGUUGGUCCAAUUGGGGUCAAUAUUCUUUUGUAGGCCAGCCUGACAACCCAACCCUUGACAGGUCAUGUAAAUGUUGUCCACCCUCCCUUUAUCUUUGGUUCUAAUAGUUUAUAAAUCAUCAUUUUCAAUAAUAUUUCAUAAAUUAUGAGUUCCUUUUUUCAUAGUCAUAUGUUUCAACUAUGUUGAAUGAAUGAAUGGUAGCAACUCCUAUCUUCCUCUAUAAUGACAGAGGUAGUUUUGAGAUGACAAUUCCAACUUAUCCAACACUUUCAAUGAGUCCAUUUCCAAAAUUAUGCCUAACCUUUGAAAAAGGUGCUUUCAAAUAUUAUAUAUAUAUAUAUAUAACUGAAUUAAGUUUAUGGAUUUACUUAGACCAUUUUAUGGAUCAAUAGAGAAUUUUGAUUUUUGAAACAUCUUUCAAUCUUGUUCGAGAUGGUCUAACCAACUAAUCACUAAGUUAUCAAAGGUAAGAGUCGUAUCCCACUAAGAAUACAUGUAUCACUAUCCAACCUAACUUUUGAUUCAUUUUUCAUAUCAUGAUUCAUUUCCAUUUUCAUUCUAUUUCAAAUCUUAUUUUCAUAAACAAAACCCACCAUUAGAGUUUGUUUGCUUGCUACUCCAAAACAAAAAUUGAGAAAAUAAAAAUAAAAAAAAUAAAAAAUGAAAGCAUGUUUAGGGAUGAGUUAAAAAAAAAAUCUUAAAAAUAAAAAUUAAAUAGAGUGUUUUCUCAUAAUAUAUUUAAAUUGUUCUUACUUGUUUUCUAAGAAUUAUUUUUUAAAAAUACUAUUCAUAAAAAUUAAUUUUUUUAAUAUUUAAAAAGAAAUAAAACAAGUUAAGAACAUUUAAAGUUUUCAAACAAAAUUUUAUUAUGCAUAAUAUUCAAAAAAAUAAUUUAAAACUUAUAAUUAUUUUUAAAAAUAUUUUCCCAACAUAACCUUAAUUUUCUUUUUUCACUCACCCCAAAGUAUAUAAAAUACAUAGUAACAAUUGUUAUUAAAAAAUUAGCUCUCUUUUCUUUUUAGAACUAUCAACCAACCAAUAUUUGUGUGUAUGAGUUCCUACAUAUAUUUGGUUAUGAUUUAUUUAAAAAUGAAUAUACCAUCUUUCAAUAACUACAAUAAAUAAAUAAAUAUAUAUAUAUAUAUAUAUAUAUAUAAUUACAAAUUUUAAUAAUAUUUUAUUUUUAUAUUUGAUAUAUCAAAUUAAAUAAUAAAGAUAAAUAUAAAUGUAUUUUGAAAAAAAUCCAAUUUUUAAGCUCAUUUAUACCCAUUUUUUAAAGAACUCAUCUGAACUCUCCAUUUUCACACUUAAUCUUUACCAUUCAUUUAAGGACAAACCCUGAAACUCAUAUCUUCCUAUCACCAACCACAUCUCCCUUUUUUCUCCCAUCUUUCUUUCCCUUUCUCUUCUUUUCUUUCUUUCUCUCUCUCUCUCACCAUACCCACGCCUAUUGUGACCACCAACCACCUCUUGCCAACAACUCCUAUUGUUAGUCACUGGCGUCUCAUUCCCACCCCCUCACUAUCUCUCUCAUGAAAAAAAAAGACAUGUUGUGAAUCGAUUCAUUGGAAUCGAUGAGGUUUAACAAUAUCACUCUUAAAAGUCAAAAAGCAUAUUCCAAACAAGAUAUUAUUCAUAGAUGAUGGAUUUCAAGGAUUUUCAAGUUGAUGGAUUUCAACAAAAUUCAAGAUAGAAAUUGAACUUUGUAAUAAACUUUAUAUUAAAAUAAUACUUUGAUUAUAGAAAGUUUGAAUCUUGAAUUGAUACAAAACUUUGAUUACAAUGAAAUGUUUUGAAUACAAGAGAAGAGUUUGAAAAAGAGAGACAUGAUUUUUUUAAAAGGAUCUAAGAAAUUAUCCACCCACUUGAACCCUAAGGGUAGCUCAGUUGGUCCUAUCUUGAGUUUGCUCCCCAAUCAUCAUUAGUUCAAGUUCUUUCAAGAUCGCUAAGGCUUACUCUCGUUAAGCCCACGAUUAUAAAAAAAAAUUCCACCAACAACUCUUGAAAUUCACCCACAGUGCUAUAAAUGAAUGGAAUUUGCUCUUCCUAAUAUUGUUACGGUUAAUUGGAUAUAUAUAUAUAUAUAUAUAAUUAUUCUUUUAAAGAACGAAUUUUUCAGUUUUUUAAAACUAUUUUGAAUAAUAUAUAAAAAAUAAAAUUAGCACAGAGGAAAGAUUUAAUUGAUUUCUGGCGAGGAAAAGUAUUCCAGAAAACUAGAUUUCAAAAUGUCAAUCACCUUCUGUUUGGGUUGAGAGAAAACUAGGGAUAAAAAGAAAAAGGGGGAAACUUUCAAAUCUCAAAUCCGUAUUGAUUUGGUUCCCAGAACGUAAGAUUAAAUAAGGAAAAAAAUUUGACAAACCCACCUCAAGCAGCGAUUUCCCUAGUAACCCAAAGUAACGAAAGCCACAAGAUUCAUUUUCCUUGUGUAAAAUUUUCUCGGCAACCAAAAAGAGACGGAAAGGAAGAAACGAGCCUUCAGAGGUGUGUGCGCAUCAUCACAAGGCCCAGAGGAGGGGUGCGUACAGGGAGAGUAGAGAAAGUGGGAGAAGAAGAAACGAGCAGCAGAUGUUAGAAUUCAGAUUGAAAACUAAAUCAGCAUCAUUAAAUUGACGAAUGUUCUUUCAGGUUUUCAUGUCCACAUGUAUCUGCCGCUUCAAGUUUUGCCUCUCUUCUCCUGCCUUUCUCAAAGCCCCUCUUCACCGCCCCCUUCUAUCGGAUCCUGGUGCGGUGGGUCCUUAUAUAUCAGUCAUGUGGGAGUUAGGGUUUUUUUUCUUUGGUCCUAGGUCUGCAUAGGUUAAAUGUACUAUUCAUAAUUCAAAUUCUCUGGGUGGGUCUAAACGCUAACAAUUCUUUCAGUCUGAAGCUAACAGUAACCACAGACUCAUCAGGUUGAGUUUUGGCUGAAUGGUUCCUCUUGCAUAAUUGUAUUUGAAAUUAAUAAUAACUUUUGCUAUCAAGUAAAAAGCAAAAACCAAAAAUUGAA
rnacentral:lncRNA from 1 species